GACCAUGAAUUGAGCUCCUCAUUUUACUGAAUUUGAGACACAGAUGGGACUUGUGGAGGGGAGACAGUUCUCUCAGAGAGCCAUACUUUUCCUAAAAUGUCUGCUCUUUCAACGAAGACCUCAUGUAUCAGUCAGUGGUACCCUGCAGCCAAGCUAACAGUCAAGGGUAAUAAUGGAAACAAGAGGAUGGUUGGAGCUGAGAUUGAUGGAGCUGAGAAACUUACUUUGAACAAUCCUGAAGAGAUGGAGGCAGGUGAUUCUCAGCAUGGUAGAGAAAGAAAUAGCAGCCCAGAGCAGAAGCAGGAAGGCACUCAGGUAAGAAGAAACUUUGUUUUGUCUCUGGGUAAAGAAAUUGGGAAGAGUCGUGACAGAAGAGGAAUUGGUUUUUUUCUUCAUUGAGUAAGGUUUGUCCUGUUUAGUAUUAUUAAAAACCACGGUGUAUUAUUUUUCCAACUGUACAUAUAAUAAUAGGUGAAAAAUUCCCAACAUAGUUUUGUGACCCUUAUCAUUUUACAUGAGUCCAGAUCUUUCUUAUCUUUAUAGAUUCAGGUUACUUCUUAUAUUUUAUUCCAUUCUUUCUCCAAUUUUUAAAAAUUUCACUUAACAUUAAGAUAUUUCUCAGAAAAUAAAAUAAAA
rnacentral:lncRNA from 1 species